rnacentral:rRNA from 1 species
GUGCCAGCAGCCGCGGUAAUACGUAGGUGGCAAGCGUUAUCCGGAAUUAUUGGGCGUAAAGCGCGCGUAGGCGGUUUUUUAAGUCUGAUGUGAAAGCCCACGGCUCAACCGUGGAGGGUCAUUGGAAACUGGAAAACUUGAGUGCAGAAGAGGAAAGUGGAAUUCCAUGUGUAGCGGUGAAAUGCGCAGAGAUAUGGAGGAACACCAGUGGCGAAGGCGACUUUCUGGUCUGUAACUGACGCUGAUGUGCGAAAGCGUGGGGAUCA